rnacentral:rRNA from 1 species
GUCUUUUUGAAUUAAAUAUAAAGUUUAGCCUGCCCAUUGAAAUAAAUUUAAAAGGCUGCGGUAUAUUGACCGUACAAAGGUAGCAUAAUCAUUAGUUUUUUAAUUGAAAACUUGUAUGAAUGGUUGAAUGAGAAAUUAACUUUUUUUUUAAAAAUAUUGAAUUUUAUUUUUUAGUUAAAAAGCUAAAAUAAAUUUAAAAGACGAGAAGACCCUAUAGAGUUUAAUAAUAUAAUUUAUAUUAAUAUAAAGGAUUACCUAUAUUAUUAUAAUUAAAUUUAUUUUAUUGGGGUGAUAAUAAAAUUUAUUUAACUUUUAUUUAUUAAAAUAUUGAUAUAUAACUUAUAUUAUUUGAUCCAGUUUUAUUGAUUAAAAAAUUAAAUUACCUUAGGGAUAACAGCGUAAUUUUUUUUUAAGUUCUUAUUAAUAAAAAAUUUUGCGACCUCGAUGUUGGAUUAAGAUUAAAUUUUAGGUGCAGCAGCUUAAAUUUAAAGUCUGUUCGACUUUUAAAUUCUU